AUUGAACGCUGGCGGCAGGCCUAACACAUGCAAGUCGAGCGGCAGCGGGAAAGUAGCUUGCUACUUUUGCCGGCGAGCGGCGGACGGGUGAGCAAUGCCUGGGGAUCUGCCCAGUCGAGGGGGAUAACUACUGGAAACGGUAGCUAAUACCGCAUACGCCCUACGGGGGAAAGCAGGGGACCUUCGGGCCUUGCGCGAUUGGAUGAACCCAGGGGGGAUUAGCUAGUUGGUGAGGUAAUGGCUCACCAAGGCGGCGAUCCCUAGCUGGUCUGAGACGAUGAUCAGCCACACUGGAACUGAGACACGGUCCAGACUCCUACGGGAGGCAGCAUUGGGGAAUAUUGCACAAUGGGGGAAACCCUGAUGCAGCCAUGCCGCGUGUGUGAAGAAGGCCUUCGGGUUGUAAAGCACUUUCAGCGAGGAGGAAAGGUUGGUAGCUAAUAACUGCCAGCUGUGACGUUACUCGCAGAAGAAGCACCGGCUAACUCCGUGCCAGCAGCCGCAGUAAGAC
rnacentral:rRNA from 1 species